CUUCAAUGCGUCACUGCCCGCAGCGCCCCGCCCGGAGGGGCCCGCGCUCUCCUCCCCUCCCCCCCCCGCCCGCCCACGCACGGAAGGGCGCGAGGGGCCGCGCAUGCACGGAGCCCCGGGAGGCCGCGGCCCAGCGGCGCCGGCCCGGCCCCGGGCUGAGCGCUCCGCGCCGCCAAUCCGCCCGACAGGGACGGGGAUUUCCCCGCUCCCAGCUGGUAAAGCGCAGCCUGAUGUCCUUCAGCCGCCUGGUUCGCCCGCGCUGCUCCCGGGAGGCAGCGCGCUCAGGGUGCGCCUGGGCUGGGGGAAUGGUGAGCUUCGCUUUGGCAGCGGCAUUCCCCGAGAUCAAAGCCUCUCAGUUUGAACUGUUUGUGAAAAGCCUCCUGCGAAUGCUCCGACAGAUAAAACGCAGGCCUAAGUGGAACUGCUACGUUUUACCUCAUAAGUGAUACUUGGAGGAACGGUAGAUUGAGCCACAUGCCUGCCUGGGAUUUCUGAGACACUGAAGGAGGUAGAUGUGCAGGUCAUCGCGAUAUGAACAGGACAAGGCUAGUGCAGCAAUUCGAAGGUCAGGAGGAGUGCAGCAGUGCACGGGAGGACAGGGCUGCUCAGAAAGCACACAGAUAAUAAACGUCAAGUACCUGACUUGGUACUGCGCUGCUUACCUGGCCUGCUCCCAGCUUGAGGACUAACCUGAAUGUCUUGCUACCCCAGGACUUAAGCACACAAAAGGCGAAGCUCGAAACAUAACUAUACGCAGCCGUAUUGCCAGACCACUUGUUUGAAGUAGUGGCCAAUGCAAAUGAAAACAAGAACGAGAAGUGGUGUUAACAACACUCCCCGUUUACAUCCUGCCACCCUCAAAUAAUCUGUGCAUUAAGGCUUUUCCAAGACACAACGUAACUGGAUUCGAUGGCCAUUUCUUCUUGUUUUUGUUCUAUUCGUGCUCUUAGCUUCUAAGAUACCAAGACGUGUUUCAGAGUUUAUUUGUACACAACAUGAAAAACAUUUCAUUUUCAUUUUCAACACUGCGUAGUAAGAACAAGGGGAACCAAACUAAAUGAGUUAUUAGAAAUGGUAAUACUCUGUUUAUUUAUACCCUUUGUGGGCAUUAAUAUCUCCUAAGUCACCCUCUUUGUAAACCAGAGCUGCACUCUAAUUCUUUCUCCUUUAGAAGCAAUUUCCAUGAUCUCUUCCUCAAAAGCAACACCUAAGUCAGACCUAUCCUAGUUUCUGGAUAGCCACAGCUGUUCCUCCCUCAGCAAUUUGAAAUACCACCUCGAUCCAUCACUUUUUCUUCUUACUAAUUUGCUCUUUUAGCAGCACUUCAAUUUGACUAGGUUCUUUGAUACCAUCUCCUGCCCAUUUCUAACAGGGGAUCCUCCUUUUCAGUAGGAGUUAGUGAUUUAAUAUAGCUUGUUGUAGAUUUUUUCUCCAAAAAUACUCCUUUUGACACUCUCUACCUACUGACCCUGGAGACUUCUUGCUUCUAAUGAGUCUGAAAAAGGCUUUUUGCAAAGGCUGUGAAAACAGCAAAUUGUCCCAUCUUUUCAUGUACACAUUACAUUUACUGUAGCUUAUUUUUAUUUUUUUUUGUUUGUAUAUAUUUUAGUGGUUCGUGUUACUGUACUGUUUAACUUUGCUAAGGUUUUAAAGAAUUGAGAAGACUAAACAAACACAAAACCUCA